rnacentral:tRNA from 1 species
CCUUCGAUAGCUCAGUUUGUAGAGCGAGGACUGUAGAUCCCUAGGUCACUGGUUCAAAUCCGGUUCGAAGGA